rnacentral:rRNA from 1 species
CUACGGGCGGCUCCAGUUAGGAAUAUUCUACAAUGCGCGCAAGCGUGAUAGAUUGAGUCAGAGUGCGCUUCAAUUUUGGAGUGCUUUUGUGGAAUCUAAAAAGUUCUACGAAUAAGGACUGGGUAAGACUAGUGCCAGCCGCCGCGGUAAUACUAGCGGUCCAAGUCGCAGCCAUUUUUAUUGGGUCUAAAACAUCCGUAGCUUGUUAAUUAAGUUCCUUGUGAAAUUCUGUAUCUCAAAUACAGAGCGGGCAAGGAGUACUGAUUAACUAGAGACUGGAAGACGUAAGAAGUACGUUCAGAGUAGCGGUUAUAUGUGUUAAUCCUGGACGGACUCACAACAGCGAAGGCAUCUUACGAGGACAGUUCUGACAGUAAGGGAUGAAGGCUAGGGGCGCAAAACGGAUUAGAUACCCUCGUAGUC